GUAGGCAUGGAAGGAGGAGGAGGAAGAAAGAAGAAAAUUAAAUAACAAAAGGAAAAAUGGGAGGAAAAAUAAAGUGGGAAGAUUGGAUCCUUUGCAAUAUGCUGAACCUAGAAUGGUUACAGGCAUGCAAAGAGAAGGCUCAAAGAUGCCCUGUAUGAUUGGUAAAACUACUAAUAUUACAGUAAAAGUACGAGCAGAAAUUAAUCAAGAGGAGGAAGCCUCUCUGAUGAUGGCUGAGCAAGGCACCCAUCUUGCUAUGUAGAACCCGUCUGGUUUGUACAGGAUCGUCUUAGACCUAAAGAAACCAUGGAUUGGGUAUAAAUUGGGCCAACCUUGUGAACCUUCUCUAGCCCUUUCCAGAGAACUACAGAUAUCUGGUCAUCGAUACACUCCUGGGGUAGAUCCUAAACCGAGGCAGAGAAACAAGGAGAGAUACAGUGCUGUUCAAGUGCCUUCCCACACAGUAUCCCUUCCCACAGCAGCGUCACUCUCCUCCAGAAGCCAUGAAUCAUUUCCGCUGCUUCCCACCUGAGGGAGGGGACGAGCUCUUCCAGGAAGCUGGAACCAGCAUUCCUGCUCCCAUGCAGUGAACACAAAUCCUCUGGGUCACAAGGUGUCUCCUGGCCUGACUCACACCAGAUCCCAUCUGUCUGCAUCCUCUAAGGAACAGCACAGAACUGAGCUUUUCAUAACUGCUUAAGUGUGCACUCUUAGUCCCUGGCAGUCCUCACCAUGAACCUGUGCAUGUAUUGUUUCCAUUUUCAGACACAGUGAAUUAAAGGCUCCUAAGGAACACUAUAGAUGGCAGAAGGAGUUUUGCACUUGACAUUGUCUGCUUCCAAAUGUGAACGUUGAAUGACUAUCUUUUAUUAUUGGGAGGGAGGCCUCCAUCCUGUGAAACUUCUUCCUAAUUAAUAGACUGGACGUUUACAUAGAGCAGAAACCCUCAUAAACGUUUAAUUGGGCACGUGUGGAGAACUUAGAAGAAACAUUGUGUUUUCAGAAGCCUUGGCAAGGAGAAGUGAACGAGGUCAGGAAGGGAAUAAAAGCAUUGUCCCACUUUAC